ACUGAGGCACGCAAUGGGAAAGAAAAUAUGGAAAUGGCCGUGGCAAGACAACGAGCUUAAUUGCGCGAGAUACGAAACAAGCAGGGAGGAGAAAGAUGGACGGAUGGAGUUGAGAACAAGUUAUAAAGAAAUACAGUAACCGACCAUUGUCCGUAUAAUUGAAAGAAAUUAUGGCCUGGUACCGUGGAAGAAAACUGAUUAACCUUUUGGGUAUAAUGUAGGAGUCAGACUUGUUAUGCGUCUCUUGUAUUAAUGCAAGAGAAUGGAAGAACGAAGAGAAAUUUUAACUGGAAUUGAGGCAAUAUUUAAAAAAUAUAUAUAUAUAAAAUAAUAAUAAUAAUAAUAAUAAUAAUAAUAAUAAUUAAGGAGCGAGAUGCCGAAUGAAAGAGACGAAAAGAAAUAGCAAUUGUAUUUGCUUAAAUAAAUGAUUUCGCGUUUACCUUUGGGAAAUAGUAAUUUGCGCCGAGCAAUCGAAUCCAAACAAUAUUGUACAUGAAGUUGUCACGUAUGUUAUAAAGUAUCAUUUAAAAUUAUGAAUAGAAUUGAUUCGCGAUCGCAAAUAUUGCCAAGCGUCAUUUCGUUUACUUAAAUCCUUUUUUUUUUAUUUUUUUAUUUUUUUUUAAAUAAAGGGAAUUGAUAAUUAUUGGGAAUAAGGUGCGUUUUAUUGAUACAUUCAGUUGACGAGUAUUGACGUUGAAAUUGAUUGAUAAUGCAAACAAUAUUAAGUGCAUUUGCUUUGAAAAUAUUUUGAAAAAUCGUAAUUAUCGCGAGAUUUCAAUGAUCUUGAAAUGGUUACCUUAACAAGAUAUUUCAUUUUUAUUUCGAAAAUAUGUACAACUUGAUUAAACUGUGGUUGUUUAGUUUUUUAAUAGCUAUAUUCAUCGUACAAAUUUAUUUUACAAUUUCUUCGAAUCUUAGUUCGUAAAUCGUUAACCUUAAUUAUUAUGGCCUUGAAGCUAAUUGGGAAUACGUGGCUGUAUUCUCGAAGACCAUAGAAUCAAUUUUAUUUCAUAAAUUCGAUAUACGAGUUAGGGGAAAAAAUUUGAAGUUAAUUUUGAAUUUUAAUUUCGUGUAUAAAUUCGAUUUAAAAUUUGAGAAAAGAAGGGAAAGGUAAGAAAUGGUGGAAAGAAAGAAGUUGAGAACAACUCAUCGGUCACGAAGGAGUUUAAUGAGGAGUUUAGGGGCGCGUAAACUCGCGAAGGAUCGUUUAAAAACGCGUCGCGCAUAGCCAAGCCGAAAGACAGGAUCGCUUUGAAUUAUAAAGCAGACAUUUUAUCCAUACAGUGUCUCUCUUUAUCGUUGGGACGUAUCUUGAAAUAGUAAUAGGAGCGUGAAACAAUUUGUAGCAAUCACAUCGCUGGGAAAAACGAGGAGUUACAAUAAGAGGAACGUGGCCAACCACGAUCCUAUUUCCUGUGGUUUAUCUCGAGCGUCAUUCGGGGUCGGGAUUCAAUCUUUUUCUUUUUUCUUCGAUUAUUUACGGGGUAGAGAAAUAGAACUUGGACAACGUUACUUUUAAUUAAAAUUCAAUUAUAUACUUAUCAUCUUUUGUGCUUAAAUGGAAAGGAUUAUAAUAGGAAAGUAUCUUUAUAGUCGGAUUAUUUUCAUCUUCUGAAUUCGACAAAUUGAAAGAAUAGAAUUUAAAAAAAGAAAAACUUAGAAAUCGUAUUUAUUUUAUAAAGUUUCGUUCAUCGAGUUUAAUUAUUACCAUUCAAUUUCUUCGACAACAAAUAUCGCUUGCUCGUUCUUACAAAAAUUUAAUUUAAUUUUACUGUUUCUCAUUACUUAUUCAUACACGUUUAACCGCUUAAUAAUAAUAAAUUGCCCGACAGCAUAAUGCAAAAAUAAUACAAAAUACGAUUCUAAAGUGCACACAAUCGACUAUGAAUCACACAAAACACGCUUAAACACUUAGAUAAAUUUAAUUUCAAAACAAUUACGUUUCCACUUCCAAUAAUAAUAUAGAGAGAAAUAAUUACAAUGUCGAGUGUUGAUCGAUCGACCGAAACCCAAAACGAAAUUACCCAAAGGUGAGUAAUAUUCGAGGCCAAUAUUUUGUAUUCACCUGUCGUCGCGUCGUCGUCGUCGUUGUAGAAACUCUCCAAACACCGUCAAAGAAUUAUUAUUUAUUCGGAGGCGGAAAAUUAUUUGUGAAGACGGAAAUCGAUAAAUAUCUAUUACCAUUCUCGACUAUCCACGUGGCGAAUUCCCGUACAUCGUGUCCGUCAUAAACACGCGAGGAAGGAUAAGGAAGGAAGGAAGAAAGGGGAAAAAAGAUUGGAACGCAAGAUGGCGUACUACAACUCACCGGGAUCCACGACACGGGUUAAUGGUCAUUACUUUCUACCGAGGACCGAAUUGCGCGAGAGUGAACGAAUUUAUCAGUGGCGGUAAUUAAACGCGCGCCAUGUAAAUAUACACUCGGUUACAGCUAUUUAACAUGUCGCGUGAAUCGCAACAGGUUUAACGAGACGAAAAAUCGUCGCGUUCGCGUACCGAGCAAUUAAAACCCGGUACAACGUGUCUCCAUUAAACUGAAAAAAAGAAAAAAGGGAAGGAGGAAAAAGAAAGAGGGAAACUCGCGACGCAGAUGCAAGCCACUUGCCAAGGAAACUCGAGGAAAGCCACAGCCAGUGCAGGGGCGCGAAUGAAGUCAUCUUCUCUAAUGCGUCGAUGCGGCUACUUCAAACCCGACUCAACUCAUUUACGACAUUACCUGGCGCACCCACAUGGCAACGACGUGGUGAACAGAAGAGGAAGAGAGAGAGAGAGGCGAGAGAGUUGCAUUGUAACUUCGCUCUUUUCAAGGCCCCCCCCCCGUUUACAAAAUGGCGUAAUAUGUCGCGCCAUUAUUUGCACCCAUCCAAAGAUCUCUCCUCUUCUGAUUGCUCUUGGCAGAGAAAGGGAGAGAGAGAUACAGUUUAAACGAACCGUGACCAAUUUUCUUUUUUCGAGCUGCUGGGUGAAAUAAGGGAGUGGAACAGAAUUGGAGUGGUUUUGGUCACUAUGGAGAUAAGAGAUAUUUGUGGUCCGUGGCUCCUUUUUGCAUCCAUCUGUUUUCUUACAGUGAUUUUGAUCGAUAUUACAUAGCUCUCGAUCGAAAGGAUAUCGAACUAAUGAAUAGUGAAUUAUACGAUACCCAAUUUUUUUCGUUUCGUUUCGCUAAACUUAAUUACUUAAGAUUAAAAUUAUACAAUUGAUUUAUAUCCCAA